rnacentral:rRNA from 1 species
GUUUGAUCAUGGCUCAGAACGAACGCUGGCGGCGCGUUUUAAGCAUGCAAGUCGGACGGUAAGCGAGGGGCAACUCUUGCUGAGAGUGGCGAACGGGUGAGUAACACGUAGACAAUCUGGCCCUGGGACAGGGAUAGCUCAUGGAAACAUGGGGUAGUACCUGGUGAGGUCGCGGAGACUGAGGUUUCUGCGAUGAGAGGCUUCAAUUGGAGCGCCUGGGGGUGAGUCCGCGGUCCAUUAGCUAGUUGGUGAGGUAACGGCCCACCAAGGCUUCGAUGGAUAGCCGGCCUGAGAGGGUGAACGGCCACACUGGGACUGAGACACGGCCCAGACUCCUACGGGAGGCAGCAGCUAAGAAUCUUCCGCAAUGGGCGCAAGCCUGACGGAGCGACGCCGCGUGGACGAUGAAGGCCGUAAGGUUGUAAAGUCCUUUUCUCUGUGAGGAAUGAGGGUGGGAGUGGAAAGCCCAUCUGAUGACGGUAACGGAGGAAUAAGCACCGGCUAACUACGUGCCAGCAGCCGCGGUAAUACGUAGGGUGCGAGCGUUGUUCGGAGUUAUUGGGCGUAAAGGGCGUGUAGGCGGCUUGAGAAGUCUGGUUUGAAAUGCACUGGCUCAACUGGUGCGCUGGGUCAGAAACUGGCAGGCUAGAGUUCAUGGGGAGGAGCUGGAAUUCCAGGUGUAGGGGUGAAAUCUGUAGAGAUCUGGAAGAACACCGGUAGCGAAGGCGGGCUCCUAUGGAUGGACUGACGCUGAGGCGCGAAAGCGUGGGGAGCAAACAGGAUUAGAUACCCUGGUAGUCCACGCUGUAAACGAUGUGCACUAGGUAUGGGGUACGAGACGUAUUCCGUGUCGGAGCGAACGCGUUAAGUGCACCGCCUG